UACGUAGGGUCCGAGCGUUGAUCGGAAUUACUGGGCGUAAAGCGUGCGCAGGCGGUUUUGUAAGCCAGAUGUGAAAUCCCCGGGCUCAACCUGGGAACUGCAUUUGGGACUGCAAGGCUUGAGUACGGCAGAGGGGGGUGGAAUUCCACGUGUAGCAGUGAAAUGCGUAGAUAUGUGGAGGAACACCGAUGGCGAAGGCAGCCCCCUGGGAUGUGACUGACGCUCAUGUACGAAAGCGUGGGGAGCAAACAGG
rnacentral:rRNA from 1 species